rnacentral:rRNA from 14 species
CCCCUUACACCCUGGGCUACACACGUGCUACAUUGGGCGAGACAAUGAGAUGCAAACCUGCGAAGGCUAGCUAAUCUAUAAACUCGUUCUAAGUUCGGAUUGUAGGCUGCAACUCGCCUACAUGAAGGUGGAAUCGCUAGUAAUCGCUGGUCAGCAUACAGCGGUGAAUUCGUUCCCGGCCCUUGUACACACCGCCCGUCACACCAUGGAAGCUGGUCACACCCAAAGUCGUUAUUCUAACCGUUUGGAGGAAGGCGCCUAAGGUAGGAUUGGUGACUGGGGUGAAGUCGAAACAAGGUAGCCGUAGGGGAACCU